GCCCCCGUAGCUCAAUUGGAUAGAGCAGCUGGUUUCUACCCAGCAGGCUGAGGGUUCGAGUCCUUCCGGGGGCGCCA
rnacentral:tRNA from 1 species